GGCUUAGUGACUCAGUGGUUACACGUUUGGCUUAUGACUAAGGGGCCCUGGGUUCGAAUCCCAGUUAGGACA